UAUUAUGGGAAUUGCGUUACCAGGUGACCCGGGGUGUUACGUUCAAGGAAGAUUUGUUGUUUGAAGUUAGGUAAAUGGCCGAUCCUCUGAACGCCACACUCACCUGUGGCCUUUGAAUGCACCAUGAUUCAAGCCAAGGCCGUGAAUACAGCGUUCCCUCUGAAUAAAGCAAUACCUCGGAUAAAAUCACCAAAUGUUGCCGGACAGCCAAGAACUGUCUUCAGCUGUGGGUGAAGAGGAAGUAAAGAUAAGAGGUCAACACAGCGUUGUGGCACUGGCACGAUGGAUGUAGCUUUAAAGCAUGUUGGCACAGCUGCUUGAAGGAGAAGUCUAUGAGGCCGCAUCUCGGAUCGUCCCGCCUCCGCCCGCGACCUCGCUGCGGGGACCGCUGGACACUCCGGGCGACGGCUCCGCGGGCCUCCACGCGAGAUGUGGACAACGAC